rnacentral:lncRNA from 1 species
AUGUCUCUUCUCAGUGAAACCCAUCCUCAAGCCAGUCAGGAUAGAAGACGUCCCAUGCAACCCUCACUUAACAACCUUCACUUAACAAUACUGCAUUUUGUAUGGAGUGGAACUGCUCCAGGCUGCGAGAUUGAGAGGAGCCCAAACAGGAAAACUCAACAGCCUAAUGGAACAGCGUUUGAGAAGCCAAGGGGAAUUUCACUGACUUGCCACGAGCGAGCAGAUGGGUUGCAGACUGAUGUCAGGAAUAUGCUUUGCCUUGAUAAAAUGAAAAAGACCCCGCCACACAUCACCCCUGGGAUCCACUCCGGUCCCUCGGCCUGACCCUACUCCUCUGCCCAGUGCCAGAUCACACGUCUGAUUCGGGGCUCAAGACAAACAAACGUAGCAACAAACUGGCAGGGAAGUCGACCUCUUUUCGGCUGGAUUUCUCUGCGGAGGGGUCGGGUGCGGAGCACAGCGGGAAGGAGCGAGCGGGAUCGGGGCUCGAGCCCCGCACAGAAAUGCGGCCAGACGCUAAUGCGGGUGAUCGGCGACGGGGGACACCGCUUUCCUACAUCCAUGCACGCAGUUAGGAGUCCGCCCCCCACAAAACCUCGCUGCCUAGUUACACUGGCCCGAGAACGGAGCCUGGAGGGAAGAAACGCUGAGAAACGGCGUUUAUGAUAUCUUCAACCGUGAGAAGCGUUUUGCCCUUGUCCCGAGCGGGGUUUUUUUGCUCCUCUCCCUCGCACAAACACGCGCACUCAUAAGACGAGCAGGGGACUUCCAUAUUGCCCCCAAACCCUGGGACUCUGUCCACAAACUACCAGCCAACUCCGGGAAGAGGAGCAGCAGCAACGCACUUUGCUAAAGGAGUUAUACAAAUCCGAAACGUAUUGCUGGGGAGGGGGGGGGGGUUGGUUUGUUGGUUUUUUUGAUCGAGAGAAAAAAAAUCUAUCUCGGUGCUUUUCAG